CUGCCCAGUGACAAGUUCAACGGCCGCGGUAUCCUAACCGUGCAAAGGUAGCAUAAUCAUUUGCCUAUUAAUUGUAGGCUAGAAUGAACGGAUAAACGAAAUAAAAACUGUCUCAAUCAGCAACCUAAAAAUUAACAUCUACAUGAAGAGUUGUAGAUAAAAUCGAAGGACAAGAAGACCCUAUAGAGCUUUCUAUUUUAAUAUAAGAAACUACUUAUAUAAAAUUCGGUUGGGGCGACCAAGGACUUAUACAACAUCCUAAAUUAAAAAGAUUUAUAAAUCAAAUAACUGACCCUUAUAAGAUCACAAGACCAAGCUACCUUAGGGAUAACAGGCUAAUUCUAUUUGAGAGUUCAUAUCGACAAUAGGGAUUGGCACCUCGAUGUUGGCUUAGGGUAUCUCCAUAGCGCAAAAGUUAUGAAUAGAUGGUUUGUUCAACCAAUAAUACCCU
rnacentral:rRNA from 1 species